rnacentral:rRNA from 1 species
ACCAGUACCGUGAGGGAAAGGUGAAAAGCACCCCGGAAGGGGAGUGAAAUAGAUCCUGAAACCGUGUGCUUACAAGUAGUCAGAGCCCGUUAACGGGUGAUGGCGUGCCUUUUGUAGAAUGAACCGGCGAGUUCCGUUAUGAUGCGAGGUUAAGUUGAAGAGACGGAGCCGUAGGGAAACCGAGUCUGAAAAGGGCGACUUAGUAUCAUGAUGUAGACCCGAAACCAUGUGACCUACCCAUGAGCAGGUUGAAGGUGCGGUAAACCGCACUGGAGGACCGAACC